rnacentral:rRNA from 1 species
AUUGAACGCUGGCGGAACGCUUUACACAUGCAAGUCGAACGGCAGCACGGACUUCGGUCUGGUGGCGAGUGGCGAACGGGUGAGUAAUAUAUCGGAACGUGCCCAGUCGUGGGGGAUAACGUAGUGAGAAUUACGCUAAUACCGCAUACGAUCUAUGGAUGAAAGCGGGGGAUCGCAAGACCUCGCGCGAUUGGAGCGGCCGAUAUCAGAUUAGGUAGUUGGUGAGGUAAAGGCUCACCAAGCCAACGAUCUGUAGCUGGUCUGAGAGGACGACCAGCCACACUGGGACUGAGACACGGCCCAGACUCCUACGGGAGGCAGCAGUGGGGAAUUUUGGACAAUGGACGCAAGUCUGAUCCAGCCAUUCCGCGUGCAGGACGAAGGCCUUCGGGUUGUAAACUGCUUUUGUACGGAACGAAAAGGUCUCUAUUAAUACUAGGGGCUCAUGACGGUACUGUAAGAAUAAGCACCGGCUAACUACGUGCCAGCAGCCGCAGUAA